rnacentral:rRNA from 1 species
GACGAACGCUGGCGGCGUGCUUAACACAUGCAAGUCGAACGGAAAGGCCCUGCUUUUGUGGGGUGCUCGAGUGGCGAACGGGUGAGUAACACGUGAGUAACCUGCCCUUGACUUUGGGAUAACUUCAGGAAACUGGGGCUAAUACCGGAUAGGAGCUCCUGCUGCAUGGUGGGGGUUGGAAAGUUUCGGCGGUUGGGGAUGGACUCGCGGCUUAUCAGCUUGUUGGUGGGGUAGUGGCUUACCAAGGCUUUGACGGGUAGCCGGCCUGAGAGGGUGACCGGCCACAAUGGGACUGAGAUACGGCCCAGAAUCCUACGGGAGGCAGCAGUGGGGAAUAUUGCACAAUGGGCGGAAGCCUGAUGCAGCAACGCCGCGUGCGGGAUGACGGCCUUCGGGUUGUAAACCGCUUUAGCAUGUGACGAAGCGUGAGUGACGGUAAUGGGUAAAGAAGCACCGGCUAACUACGUG